AAUAUCAACUAACAAGCAUGCGAAUAGACAAGCUAAUAACCCAAUUGGCUCACUUUACAAUAAAACUUAAAUAAAUUACAAUAUGAAAUGCUAAGUUAGAGAGGAUCAUAUUUGAAGAUACACUGUACACCUAAAGGCCUUGUAAAGGAAACUUUGUGCAAGUUGGUGAGCUGAAUAGACUCUCUAGGCUUACAUCUUCCACCAUGAACAAGUAAUUAGGGUUGUGGUGCAAUAAAAUAGAGCCAUCAGGCCAAGUGGAGACAAUGUGGAUUAGUGUGAAAAGAUGUCAUUAAGGAAUAUAUAUAUAUAUAUAUAUAUAUAUAUAUAUAUAUAUAUAUAUAUCUUACCAAUGUAGUAUGGUGGUUGAUAUAGUAUGAUGGAUUGAGUGUGGAUUAGUGUGAACAGAUGUCAUUAAGGAAUCUAUAUAUAUAUCUUAUCAAUGUAGUAUGUUGAGUUGAUAGUGGAUUAGUGUAAACAGAUGAUGUAUUAAGG
rnacentral:lncRNA from 1 species